UACGUAGGGGGCAAGCGUUGUCCGGAUUUACUGGGUGUAAAGGGCGCGCAGGUGGGUCGGCAAGUCAGAGGUGAAAGCCUGCAGCUUAACUGCAGAACUGCCUUUGAAACUGCUGAUCUUGAGUUCAGAAGAGAGAAGCGGAAUUCCAGGUGUAGUAGUGAAAUACGUAGAUAUCUGGAAGAACACCGGUGGCGAAGGCGGCUUCUUGGUCUGUAACUGACACUGAGGCGCGAAAGCGUGGGUAGCGAACAGG
rnacentral:rRNA from 1 species